GUGUCCUCUUGUGGAAAGAGCUGCAAAUGCCAGACACUAAGAAAAUCUCCAUUUCCCUAAGGGAACCAGAGCAAGUCAAAGGUUGGCAUAAACUAAACAGUAUGAUGACACCCUGUUGGCCAGGCUGUGGGGAAACGGGAACUCUCAUGUGUUGCUGCAGAAACAACAACGGCAGCAGCAGUUGCAGCCACAACAACGACGGCGGCAGCAGCAGCAGCGUAUUGUAAGAGUACACGUCGGCG